CGGCGGACGGGUGAGUAACACGUGGGUAAUCUGCCUUAUACAGGGGGAUAACAGUUAGAAAUGACUGCUAAUACCGCAUAAGCGCACGGGGACGCAUGUUUCUGUGUGAAAAACUCCGGUAGUAUAAGAUGAGCCCGCGUCUGAUUAGCUGGUUGGUGGGGUAACGGCCUACCAAGGCGACGAUCAGUAGCCGGCCUGAGAGGGUGAACGGCCACAUUGGGACUGAGACACGGCCCAAACUCCUACGGGAGGCAGCAG
rnacentral:rRNA from 1 species